GCCUGGGUAGCUCAGUCGGUUGAGCGUCUGACUUCCGCUCAGGUCAUGAUCUCACCGUAUGUGGGUUCGAGCCCCACGUUGGGCU